GAUCUGGGAGGCCCCAACUUCAGAGUUCAAAUGGUGCACCUGGGAAGAAAGGAUAGGCGUGUACACUGAGUCGGAGCAAGUGCUGAUCCCAAAGGAAAUCACGCAUGGCACAACCGAGGUAAGCGGUUCACUGAAUUUCCUCUCUUCUUCUGUUUUCUAUUCUUUGCUGUUUUCUAUUUGUGGAAAAGUGAAUUAUCACUUUCUCAUCCUCCUACGUUUCUGAUUGACGCUGAUGCAAGAAGCUUAGACUUGUGUUCUAAACAAACACUGGAACUGGUGCUUUCCGUUUCACUGCCGAACAUGGAUGCGAGCACAUCUUCAUCAUGCUUCUUCUCAUCAUGCAUAGUGGUUGUUGGUCUGAUUGCUUCUGUACAGUAGAUCAAGUAGGUGACACAAGGUGAUACCUAGGAAGUGAUAUUGAUUAGAUAACGGUUUUGUGUAGCGCGAGCUCCCUGCUACCCUCUAUCGGGACCGUACAGAAGGGAUCAAGUGACAUCAAGAUACGUUCACAGAUUUAAAAAAGACAACUCUGCCAGGACAAUCAAGGCGUAAGACACUAGCAUCUUCUUUCUUCUUUGUUCCCAUCUGCUUGUCCAUUAGGCUGCUUUGCUGAGCAGCGGCAGCUGAGAUGUGACAGGAUGCUGGCUCCAAAGGAGGGCCCCUUCAUCAGUCAAAAUCACUACUACUGUUGUAUAUAGGGGUGACAGCCUACUAGCCUUAGCCUUAGGCGCGCAUCUUGCGCAUAUGGCGGUCUCGACACGCAAGCUCUUGGUGACAGCCUACUAUUGUUUCCAUGUGCGCUCCUUGCAAAUCUCAAUAUGAUGCCCAUUUUCCUUCCCAAUCAAAAAGUGCAACGCCACAUGGUUCUACCGCUAAUCAAGCUGUCAGGCACGUAUUCGUUUGGUAAUUUUGAUUCUUCGCAGACAAGGUCAUCGGUAGAAAGUUUCAGAGAACGGACCUGCCUUUGUCAGCACUGCUUGUUGUGUAUGGCUCACGCGGCUGCCCGGCACACAAUGGGAGCAGUGGACAACCAGAUGUUUGGCACGAGACUAAAGAAACGAACCUGUGUGUGGCCGUGAAACAUUUUAUUUUUUACCAAACCAGAAACUGGGUGGCCAUAGUAAAUAUGUGGGGGCCGGAAGCGUCACUGUCCGCACGGGUCAAACAGCUUGCCAGAAAUAAAGGGGCCCACAAGGGCUAGCAUGCAGGCCUAUAGCUUACCUAUAAAUGACAACACUUGCUAAUGACUCUGCAGCGAGCAGCUGCAGCUCCUUUUUCUUCUCGAAUCAUGAGCCAAACCAACGGUCGAGAUAAGCAGUACCAUGUAGCUCGCGCUAUAAAGGAACUUUGCGUAUUGAUUACUGCCUUGAUGUCUUAUUUGAAUUUGUUGGUGCCUGACUUCUUAAUACUUGCCUAAACAAUGCUGCAGUUUGUUUUUCUGCUUUUGGUUUGCAAGCUAAUUGUUUAAUUGCCAAUGAUUUUUUCAGUUCAUACAUGUAUAGCAGAGGAGACGGAUUUUGGACUAUUGUAUUUCGGAUGCCAAUAACGUGGAAAUGCAGUCUCAAGGAUGGAAAUAAAAGAGUCUGUGUGGUGUUGUUUUUCUUAAAGAACACGUUUAUAUUCCCUGUUCUUUUCGCUUCAGGUUUACAAGGUUUACAAGUAUUUUGUCUGCUACAUAAUGCAUGUGUUCACCGGCAAAAAUUCAGUUUUAUUACUGUCAUAUUUACCACUUCAGGUUAGUGAUUCAUAGCACGUCAUUGUUGAAAGCCUACAUAAAGGAUAACCAAUAUUGUUGACUUAAGUCUUGGUAUUAUUUCAGUUCUAACUACAGGACAAAAGGGAUCUAGGAAUAUUAUGUUGAGUCAUUGACUUUGUACAAUUUUUAUGCGAGGGGUCAUUACAGAGAGCAAUAUUGCUCAGUUAUUAUCAAUUUCUUGCAUAUCAGUAAUUGAUAGUGAUAGUGCUAGCAUGAUAGUAUAGUUUAGUUGGUUAUUCCUUCAAAGAAAAUUAUAGUUGGUUAAAUUAUUUUGUUAGUGCUUCUAUUUAGAUUCAUUUUAUAGGAAUGAAAAAACUGUAAUUAGGAAGCCACGUUGUAUAAAUAUUGAAGUGCUGAUACUGCUUCCUCUAGAUUUCAAAUAGUACUUUUAGGCUCAAAGUAUAGACAAAAAUAGGUUUACUAAUCUUUUCCUCUAAAUAAACUUAGGUUGACUUUGCACACACUGUAAUUAAAUUAGGAUGAAAGAAGACUAUCCUCAAUUUUUUUUUUUUGGUUUGUGUUUCAUAUCUAUUGCUUAUCUGCUCUGCCUCAAUUACUCAAGGUUGCGAGGGGAUUCUUUUUUUACCAGGACAUUGUUUUUUAGGAAAGAAGUGCAAUUGACGCAUUUCAUAUCUACUGCUUAUCUGCUUUGCCUCAAUGACUCAAGGCUGUGAAGAUAUAUUAUCAAGUGAUACUCAUAUAUUGUUUGGCUGGCUCUUUAUCCUAUGAGAGGAAUUGAAUGAUUGAAUUAUGCAUUUGAUAUUACCAAUAUACAUCGUGUAAAUGUUUUUUUUUUCUUUUGACAGUGCACUACAUGUGUCUGCACUAGGGCAAAGAGGCGAAGAUGAGCCCAAGGUGGCCAAAAGCAACAUCUUCCCCAUCCAGGAGCUCCAAAUAUGUGUCUCAGCGUGAAGGAUUCGGCCCAUGGUCAUUGGAGUUUGAACAUGACACUGUUGAUGGCGAGAAGAAGAGAUGUCUCACAUACACUGAAAAAUUGGGUUGAUGUUGUGGUGCCUCAGGACAUAGUACAAGCAAGAUGUAGCUGCCUCAGCCCCUUAC
rnacentral:lncRNA from 1 species